ACGAGCAGUGAUUGGCCCUCCAGGGGAGACUGCCCUGGAAUCCAGUCACCUCGCCUAUAGGCCCCCCGGCUCCCAGGAGGAGCAAUUUUCAAACCAUGACAAAGUAACAAGGAAUGAGGAAGUUGAAAAUGGCUGAAGGAGGCAAAGAAACAGCAGAAAAUUAAUUAGAAAGGAAAGAGGACACCGAAGUGGCAGUGUGGCAAGAGAACUGAAAGGGGAAAGAGUAAAACUGAAGGAGAUUUUUUUUAACUAACUGUCAAAACAGCUACAUUUUCAGAAAGUAAAUGUGAAUUUACUUUAUGUGAACAAUAAAUACAUUCC